UACGGAGGGUGCAAGCGUUAUCCGGAUUCACUGGGUUUAAAGGGUGCGUAGGUGGGCAAGUAAGUCAGUGGUGAAAUCUCCGGGCUUAACCCGGAAACUGCCAUUGAUACUAUUUGUCUUGAAUACUGUGGAGGUCAGCGGAAUAUGUCAUGUAGCGGUGAAAUGCUUAGAUAUGACAUAGAACACCAAUUGCGAAGGCAGCUGGCGACACAAAUAUUGACACUGAGGCACGAAAGCGUGAGGAUCAAAACAGG
rnacentral:rRNA from 1 species